UACAGAGGUCUCAAGCGUUGUUCGGAUUCAUUGGGCGUAAAGGGUGCGUAGGCGGCGCGGUAAGUCGGGUGUGAAAUCUCGGAGCUUAACUCCGAAACUGCAUUCGAUACUGCCGUGCUUGAGGACUGGAGAGGAGACUGGAAUUUACGGUGUAGCAGUGAAAUGCGUAGAUAUCGUAAGGAAGACCGGUGGCGAAGGCUAGUCUCUGGACAGUUACUGACACUGAGGCACGAAGGCCAGGGGAGCAAACGGG
rnacentral:rRNA from 1 species